rnacentral:lncRNA from 1 species
ACAAGAGGUUAGUUUCACCAAUUUCAACCAAGAACUGGAGUCUGGAGAUACAUUUCUCAAAAAAGAUAGACAGUCGCAGCAGAUAUUCAGAUUACAAGCAGUGUGCUUCAAAAUCAGGUCAAAUAUGUUGGAAUGCUCACAAGACAUGCUUCACUAGCAGAAAAAUAAGAGUACCAAGCAUGUAUGGAUAGGUGGGUUUACGAAUUUACAAAAUUUCCUAGGUACAAACUAAGACACACUGAACAUGGAAAUAGCACCAGCAUGAUACUACAAGUUGGCGACCCUUUGUAAACUCAGGAGACUCCCUGGGUACAGACCAACUUCAUGAAGACAUCUUGGGUCUGUUCGCUUCAGCUUAUAAGCCGGCUGAAAAGCUGCAACGGCUGAUUUAUUGUGAGAG